rnacentral:rRNA from 1 species
UACGUAGGGUCCAAGCGUUAUCCGGAAUCACUGGGCGUAAAGCGUGCGUAGGUGGAUGUUUAAGUGUAUUGCGAAAUCUUGUGGCUCAACCAUAUAGACUGUAAUACAUACUGGAUAUCUAGAGGACGGCAGAGGCAAGUGGAAUUUGUAGUGUAGCAGUGAAAUGCGUAGAUAUUACAAGGAACACCAAUGGCGAAGGCAGCUUGCUGGGCCACUCCUGACACUGAGGCACGAAAGCUAGGGGAGCAAACAGG